UACGUAGGUGGCGAGCGUUGUCCGGAUUUACUGGGCGUAAAGAGCGCGCAGGCGGUCGUGCAAGUCGCGUGUGAAAGCCCCCGGCUCAACUGGGGAGGGUCACGCGAUACUGCUCGACUUGAAGGCAGGAGAGGGAAGUGGAAUUCCCGGUGUAGUGGUGAAAUGCGUAGAUAUUCGGAGGAACACCAGUGGCGAAGGCGGCUCACUGGUCCGGUACUGACGCUGAGGUGCGAAAGCGUGGGGAGCAAACAGG
rnacentral:rRNA from 1 species